rnacentral:rRNA from 1 species
GAUGAACGCUAGCGGCAGGCCUAAUACAUGCAAGUCGAACGAUAGUGAGAAGCUUGCUUCUCACGAAAGUGGCGCACGGGUGCGUAACGCGUAUGCAACCUACCUUAAUCAGGUGGAUGGCCCGAAGAAAUUCGGAUUAACACCGCAUAAAAUCACAGUAUAGCAUUAUACAAUGAUCAAAUAUUUAUAGGAUUAAGAUGGGCAUGCGUGACAUUAGUUAGUUGGCGGGGUAACGGCCCACCAAGACCACGAUGUCUAGGGGAUCUGAGAGGAUGACCCCCCACGCUGGUACUGAGACACGGACCAGACUCCUACGGGAGGCAGCAGUAAGGAAUAUUGGUCAAUGGAGGCAACUCUGAACCAGCCAUGCCGCGUGCAGGAAGACAGCCCUCUGGGUCGUAAACUGCUUUUAUUCGGGAAUAAACCUAUCUACGUGUAGAUAGCUGAAUGUACCGAAGGAAUAAGGAUCAGCUAACUCCGUGCCAGCCGCCGCAGUAA